UGCAAGUCGAACGGCAGCGCGGGCUUCGGCCUGGCGGCGAGUGGCGAACGGGUGAGUAAUACAUCGGAACGUGCCCUAGAGUGGGGGAUAACUAGUCGAAAGAUUAGCUAAUACCGCAUACGAUCUACGGAUGAAAGUGGGGGACCGCAAGGCCUCAUGCUCCUGGAGCGGCCGAUGUCUGAUUAGCUUGUUGGUGGGGUAACGGCCCACCAAGGCGACGAUCAGUAGCUGGUCUGAGAGGACGACCAGCCACACUGGGACUGAGACACGGCCCAGACUCCUACGGGAGGCAGCAGUGGGGAAUUUUGGACAAUGGGGGAAACCCUGAUCCAGCAAUGCCGCGUGUGUGAAGAAGGCCUUCGGGUUGUAAAGCACUUUUGUCAGGAACGAAACGGUGGGGGCUAAUAUCCUCUGCGAAUGACGGUACCUGAAGAAUAAGCACCGGCUAACUACGUGCCAGCAGCCGCGGUAAUACGUAGGGUGCGAGCGUUAAUCGGAAUUACUGGGCGUAAAGCGUGCGCAGGCGGUUGUGCAAGACAGAUGUGAAAUCCCCGGGCUUAACCUGGGAAUUGCAUUUGUGACUGCACGGCUAGAGUGUGUCAGAGGGGGGUAGAAUUCCACGUGUAGCAGUGAAAUGCGUAGAUAUGUGGAGGAAUACCGAUGGCGAAGGCAGCCCCCUGGGAUAACACUGACGCUCAUG
rnacentral:rRNA from 1 species